GGCGUCAGGCGUUUUGAAAGGCUUUGCAGGUCCUGUUUUCUGCGUAAUUUUUCCGUGAUUACUGACUGGUUUAAACACGACCCCUUGAACAAUAUUGAUAAAACCUCCGAGACCCGCAGCCCCUCCUUGCAGCGUGUAGGAGCUGCCAGCGUGCCCAGCAGCUGGUGUUCCCGUCCGUACCUCCAGAAGAGCCCAGCGCGUGCACCAUCCCCAC
rnacentral:lncRNA from 1 species